rnacentral:tRNA from 1 species
GGAGGAGUGGCAGAGUGGUUGAUCGCAACGGUCUUGAAAACCGUCGUGGGUGCAAGCCCACCGGGGGUUCGAAUCCCUCCUCCUCCG